rnacentral:rRNA from 1 species
UACGGAGGGUGCAAGCGUUUAUCCGGAUUCACUGGGUUUAAAGGGUGCGUAGGUGGGCAGUUAAGUCAGUGGUGAAAUCUCCGGGCUCAACCCGGAAACUGCCAUUGAUACUAUCUGUCUUGAAUAUCGUGGAGGUAAGCGGAAUAUGUCAUGUAGCGGUGAAAAUGCUUAGAUAUGACAUAGAACACCAAAUUGCGAAAGGCAGCUUACUACCCAAUAUUGACACUGAGGCACGAAAGCGUGGGGGAUCAAAACAGG